GACAGAGGUGCCAAGCGUUAGGCGGAAUCACUGGGCGUAAAGCGCACGUAGGCGGCUUUCUAAGUCAGGGUGAAAUCCUGGAGCUCAACUCCAGAACUGCCUUUGAUACUGGAGAGCUAGAGUCCGGAAGAGGUGAGUGGAACUGCGAGUGUAGAGGUGAAAUUCGUAGAUAUUCGCAAGAACACCAGUGGCGAAGGCGGCUCACUGGUCCGGUACUGACGCUGAGGUGCGAAAGCGUGGGAGCAAACAGG
rnacentral:rRNA from 1 species